GCAGGAUUUCUGAUGGACAUAAAGGUCUGGGCUAAUAAAAGAAAGCUUCAUUUUUGUUACUCCUUCCUGGGGCAUUUGCACUUUAACAAGAUUAAAAUCCUAAGAACUCUUGGGAGGUAUUUGUAGUAAAAUAAUAAGAUAGUUUAAGCACUGAUAAUGACUUCACCCAAAAUAAUAUCUUAUGGAAGAAUUCCAGGCAUUAGGCUAAAGCUAGAAAACCUGAUGAGGACAUGUGAUAAAUCACUUCCUAUAGAUCUGAUUAAUUUUAGCCUUGCUUAAUACAUAGGUCUUUGAGCUUUCAUACAUGAACUUACUCUUCAAUGAGAGCCUCAAAACUCUCAGUCUGGUAGAAAAGCAGAGGUUUUGGAGACAGACUGACUCAGUUUGUAUUUUUGGUUCUGACAUUUACUAUUUCACUUUUCUAAGCUUCUGUACCCUCACCUCAAGUAAUAUCUACCUAUUGUGAAAAUUAAAUGGCUAAUGGUUAUAAAAUGCCUGAUAUUAUGCUUGGCGUAUAGUAUAUUAUAUUAUAAAUGUAAGUUCUCUGCAACAGAUAAAGAAUAUGUUAAUUGUAUAACUGUACCCAAACCGUGGUAUUAUUUUCACUUUCCCAGAAUGGGAAAUAAGGGAGAUAGAACUUCAGACCAUGAAUUGUUGAAUAGACUCAUGGCAUUUGUCUGCAUAGCAUCCUUCCUUUGGGGGGACUCCCUCCCCUUCUUCUCGAGG
rnacentral:lncRNA from 1 species